GCCAGGUACAGUAGUGCAUACCUCUAAUCCCAGCUACUUGAGAGGCUGAGGCAGGAGAAUCUCAUGUUCUAGGCCAGCCUCAGCAACAUAGUAAGACCCUGUCUCAA
rnacentral:sRNA from 1 species